AAAAAACAAAAAAAAAAAAAGAAAAAAUUUUAAAAAAAGAUUUAUUUAUACUACUGAGAAGUCUUUGUUAGCCCUGCUUUGCACCCCCCAGCUGCGACAAAGGCAGUUAGGGUGAUGCAAUCUUAGUGCCAGUUCUUUCCAGGAGGCUUGUUCUACAGCUUCCCGGUACAUGUGUUAAAGAUCACACAUGACCCAGGUGCUUGCCUAACAUAAACCUCUCCUCCUGUACGGAGAAAACUCUCUCAACUGUUUGUGGCAACAGGACAUCAUUCAUAUCACUUCUGGAAACACCACACUCAAAAUGACUCCAGGAAAGUCGGCAGCUUUCACAGAAGCCAAGCUAAGCCAUGGAAGAUUGUAAUCAGGAAAAGCUACGCUUCCUGAUCCACACAAAAGCUACAGGGGCCCAAGAACCUCAAGGCUCUCUUAAAUAGGUAAGGACCAUCACAAACAUCAUGCUAUAAAGGGGAAGUACUCUUUUCACAAAGAGUUUUAAAGAGAAACCACAAGAAAAUUGCCUUUUUUCAACCAGAACAAAGCUACAUCUUUGUUGCUUCUGUAAAUCAGAC
rnacentral:lncRNA from 1 species